rnacentral:lncRNA from 1 species
UGAUUGAAGGUGAGAGAAGGGGACGACAGAGGAUGAGAUGGUUGGAUGGCANNNNNNNNNNNNNNNNNNNNNNNNNNNNNNNNCUCCGGGAGUUGGUGACGGACAGGGAGGCCUGGCAUGCUGCAGUCCAUGGUCGCAGAGUCAGACACGACUGAGCGACUGAACUGAACUGACAGGCAAAUGAGAAGAGCAAAGUCAGCGUAGACCACAAGUAAAUUCGUGUUUGUCAGCCCCGUCGUGAGGAGCCAUGAAAUCCAAACCACAGAACGCUGCAGGUCUCAGUGCCAGUAGAAGAUGGGCAGGAUGCUGUUUUCCAGUGUUAGAGUUUCAGACCUUUAGAUUUUCUGUAGUUCUGUGAUGCAUUUGUUGAAUAUUGUAGAGGGAGGAAAGAACAGAAGAGAAUUGCUCUGUUCUUUAACAGUUUUUAUUGAGGUGUACAUUCACAUAAUAAACAGCACACAAUUAAAUUUUCAGCUUCAUAAAUUUUAACAUCAAAAUAUCCUCAUGAAACCAUCACUACAGUCAAAACCAUGAGCAUCUCCGUCAUCACAAAAAGUUUCUUCAUUUAUCUUUGUCAUCUAUCCCCCCCAACCAAAUCCCCUCAACAGAUCUGCUUUCUGUCACUAGAGAUUCAUCACAUUUUCUAGACUUCUGAAUGAAUGAAAUCAAACAGAGUGCACAUUUUUUUGCCAGGCUUCUUCCCCUAAGCAUAAUUUUUUGAAGAUUUAUCUAUAUUGUUACAUGUAUCAGUGACAGAGGCAAUCAUAGUUCUCACCCUAUCCAUUUUUGUNNNNNNNNNNNNNNNNNNNNNNNNNNNNNNNNNNNNNNNNCCAUUGUUUUAUAUAUUCAAUUUUAUUGUUUGUUUGUUUCAUAACAAGAGCAUAAAUCCUGCCCUUAUCCUUUCAUCUUGCCAAAGAGCAGGAGUCCCUGUCAGAGUUUUGCAGGAAAAAAGGAUUGUUGUUGAGGCUUAUUUAUCCCUUUCUAGGCUUUGAAACAUUUCUACCUAACAUAGUAUUCUCAUACUUAGCAUGUGUUCUACAGUAACCAAAUGACAUCAGACAGCAUCAAUCCACUCUCAGGGGACACCAGAAAGCAGCAACCCAGGACCUCUGCUUCACCAAACUUGUCCUUAAGAUGGAUGCUAGUCAAGAGUUGACUUUCCUUCUAGAAUGUAAGCACUUGAAGUUCGAAAAGAGGGGGUAAAAAAUCAAAGGACACUAUGCAAUUUGUGGGAUUAUAAGUUUCCAGUGCCAUUAGUUUCUAUAUUUAAAAAAAUUGCAUUCCAUAAACUAACUUUCCCACCUUUUGCAAACACAAUUUUCUCUGGUAAUACAGCGAUUUGAAAGGUAACAACAACAGUAAUAAAUGGAUACUGAAUGCUUACUAUCUAAUAGGACAUGUUCACACAUAUAAAGCCAGCUCUAUCUAGGGUCUCCUUUCAAAGCCAGUGCAGGCUCAUGCUAAUUUGGCAAAAAGA